GAUGAACGCUGGCGGUAUGCUUAACACAUGCAAGUCGAACGGACUCUUCGGAGUUAGUGGCGGACGGGUGAGUAACGCGUGAGAAUCUGGCUUUGGGUUCGGGACAACCACUGGAAACGGUGGCUAAUACCGGAUGUGCCGAGAGGUAAAAGAGAAAUUGCCUGAAGAUGAGCUCGCGUCUGAUUAGCUAGUUGGUGAGGUAAAGGCUCACCAAGGCAGCGAUCAGUAGAUGGUCUGAGAGGAUGACCAGCCACACUGGGACUGAGACACGGCCCAGACUCCUACGGGAGGCAGCAGAGGGGAAUUUUCCGCAAUGGGCGAAAGCCUGACGGAGCAAUACCGCGGGAGGGAAGAAGGCUCUUGGGUUGUAAACCUUUUUUCUUAGGGAAGAACAAAUGACGGUACCUAAGGAAUCAGCAUCGGCUAACUCCGUG
rnacentral:rRNA from 1 species